GCCCCAGUGGCUCAAGUGGAUAGAGCAAGGCACUCCUAACGCCUAGGCUGGGGGUUCGAGUCCCUCCUGGGGCA
rnacentral:tRNA from 1 species